GAUUUCAACUGAAAAGUCAUCAAUAACAAAGUUGUAUAACUCAUCAGUAUCUAUAAAUUUUAUUUUGGUCAUUUCUUUAUCCGAUAAAGUGAUACUAACAUUGUUCACAAAAUUACAUAUCUCUGUUAUAGUUUAUAACUAUAUAAGAGAUAUGUACAUUUUGUGAACAAUGUUACAAAUCACUUUCUCGGAUGAAGAAAUGACUAAAAUAAAAGUUAUAGAUCUUGAUGAGUUAUACCACUUUGUUAUUGAUGACUUUUUCAGUUAAAAUC
rnacentral:pre_miRNA from 2 species